rnacentral:rRNA from 1 species
UGGGGAAUAUUGCACAAUGGGCGCAAGCCUGAUGCAGCCAUGCCGCGUGUAUGAAGAAGGCCUUCGGGUUGUAAAGUACUUUCAGCGGGGAGGAAGGGAGUAAAGUUAAUACCUUUGCUCAUUGACGUUACCCGCAGAAGAAGCACCGGCUAACUCCGUGCCAGCAGCCGCGGUAAUACGGAGGGUGCAAGCGUUAAUCGGAAUUACUGGGCGUAAAGCGCACGCAGGCGGUUUGUUAAGUCAGAUGUGAAAUCCUCGGGCUCAACCUGGGAACUGCAUCUGAUACUGGCAAGCUUGAGUGUCGUAGAGGGGGGUAGAAUUCCAGGUGUAGCGGUGAAAGGCGUAGAGAUCUGGAGGAAUACCGGUGGCGAAGGCGGCCCCCUGGACGAAGACUGACGCUCAGGUGCGAAAGAGUGGGGAGCAAACAGG